CCUACGGGGGGCUGCAGUGGGGAAUAUUGGACAAUGGGGGGAACCCUGAUCCAGCCAUGCCGCGUGUGUGAAGAAGGCCCUCGGGUUGUAAAGCACUUUCAGUGAGGAAGAACGCCUGGUGGUUAAUACCCAUCAGGAAAGACAUCACUCACAGAAGAAGCACCGGCUAACUCCGUGCCAGCAGCCGCGGUAAUACGGAGGGUGCGAGCGUUAAUCGGAAUUACUGGGCGUAAAGCGCGCGUAGGUGGCUUGAUAAGCCGGUUGUGAAAGCCCCGGGCUCAACCUGGGAACGGCAUCCGGAACUGUCAAGCUAGAGUGCAGGAGAGGAAGGUAGAAUUCCCGGUGUAGCGGUGAAAUGCGUAGAGAUCGGGAGGAAUACCAGUGGCGAAGGCGGCCUUCUGGACUGACACUGACACUGAGGUGCGAAAGCGUGGGUAGCAAACAGGAUUAGAGACCCUAGUAGUC
rnacentral:rRNA from 1 species